rnacentral:ncRNA from 2 species
CUCACUCCCCCUCCACCUUGCUGACCACCCUCAUGUUCUUUAAUACCAAGUACUUCCUAUUGAAGACAGUGGACCAGCACAUGAAGCUGGCCUUCUCCAAGGUCUUGCGACAGACAAAGAAGAACCCCUCUAAUCCCAAGGAUAAAAGCACGAGUAUCCGGUACUUGAAGGCCCUUGGAAUACACCAGACUGGCCAGAAAGGUA